rnacentral:tRNA from 1 species
UAACGGGGUAGUUUAAUAAAAAUAAUUCUUUUGCAUAGAUUAGAUGGGGGUUAGUCUCCCCGCUGUUAG